rnacentral:rRNA from 3 species
UUGACCUCGGAUCAGGUAGGGAUACCCGCUGAACUUAAGCAUAUCAAUAAGCGGAGGAAAAGAAACCAACCGGGAUUGCCCU